CAGACUGGUGAUCCAGGUGAGCAUGUGCUCUGAAUACCUGGAGAUCUGCCUGGACAUUGAACAGAGAGGGCUCUACUGCACCAAGAUCUCCCCACAGGAAGAGUGUGGCACCUCAAGUUGCUAGUCCAUACAAGCAGGUGCUCUUAACGCCUGGAUAUCUGCCUUGGCGUGAAGCAGAAGGGCCCACUUAACCAUGAUCUAUGCCCAAGAAAGGUGGAGUUGCUUAGGCAACUGAACCAGGACUGUUGCGGAGGGAAGUAAGUGAAUGUGUCCAAAACACUUGGAAGUUUGCCUGGAAUCCAGUGUGUGCUAUACCAGAGUCCUAGUUAGGCGUGGCCUUGAACAGCCCUGAGAAUGAACAUCUGAGAAGCGUCAAUGUGGGAUGCCCUGAGAUGCAAUUAAGAGGAGGAAGGAAACCAUGGUUCUAUUUUAACAUGCCAGCACCAUGUAAAAGACUACUCAAUGUGAAGAUGAUGAGGAUGAAGACCUUUAU
rnacentral:lncRNA from 1 species